rnacentral:rRNA from 1 species
AUUGAACGCUGGCGGCAUGCUUUACACAUGCAAGUCGAACGGCAGCGCGGGCUUCGGCCUGGCGGCGAGUGGCGAACGGGUGAGUAAUACAUCGGAACGUGCCCAGUAGUGGGGGAUAGCUCGGCGAAAGCCGGAUUAAUACCGCAUACGACCUGAGGGUGAAAGCGGGUGAUCUUCGGACCUCGCGCUAUUGGAGCGGCCGAUGGCAGAUUAGCUAGUUGGUGGGGUAAAGGCCUACCAAGGCGACGAUCUGUAGCUGGUCUGAGAGGACGACCAGCCACACUGGGACUGAGACACGGCCCAGACUCCUACGGGAGGCAGCAGUGGGGAAUUUUGGACAAUGGGCGAAAGCCUGUUCCAGCAAAGCCGCGUGUGUGAUGAAGACCUUCGGGUUGUAAAGCACUUUUGGCGGGAACGAAAAGGACUGUGCCAAUACCACGGUUCGAUGACGGUACCCGCAGAAUAAGCACCGGCUAACUACGU